rnacentral:rRNA from 1 species
UACAGAGGUCCCAAGCGUUGUUCGGAUUCACUGGGCGUAAAGGGUGCGUAGGUGGUUGUGCAAGUCUGAUGUGAAAUCUCCGGGCUUAACCCGGAAAUGGCGUUGGAAACUGCAUGGCUAGAGGGUUGGAGGGGGGACUGGAAUACUUGGUGUAGCAGUGAAAUGCGUAGAUAUCAAGUGGAACACCAGUGGCGAAGGCGAGUCCCUGGACAACACCUGACACUGAGGCACGAAAGCUAGGGGAGCAAACAGG